rnacentral:lncRNA from 1 species
AUUUUUUUUUUUUUUUUGAAGGGGGGAACUGAAACAUUUGAAAUUUGAAACUCCCUAGUGUUAGAAGUUUGAAGAUUUUCCAUGUGGGGCUUUCUCACGGUUUGAAUUUGAAUUUUGAAUAUCAAUAGCCAUGUUGAGCUAUAUAUAAGAAGGAUAAGUUUCCAUUCUUUACCUUACCUUCAUUUGCUCAUCUUGUAGUGAUUUUUGAAGACAUAGUGCUAUUUACUUGAGAGGGAUUCUGGCAUUGCUUUGCUGCACCAUCUUCAGGUUGGUAGUCUUCUCCACUAGAUCAGAUGUUUUCAUUCUUGUUGAAUUGUUUAAGUGUUCAUGUAUUUUGUUAAGAACAUAAUGAACUGGUUGAGCUUUUUCUGCAUGCCCUAUGAUUCCUUAUGUUUUGAUCCUUCAUGUAGUGAUAGAGUUUGUUUCUGUUUGUUGUAAAUGUCGGAGUCUGGAAGUCUUAGUGAUGAGGGCUCCCCUAGCUCUAACUCUAGGUUUGAGCCUGCCAUGUCAGGGUCUUCAUGGCCUUU